rnacentral:lncRNA from 1 species
CAUAACCAAAGCAUCUACGCUCCAUCAUUCAUCUUCAUUGCCUUUCACUGCCCAUAGAUGCUCCAUCAAGUCAAGUUGCUUUUCAUGAAUAUACGAAGAUUGCAUCUCUAUAUAUCGAUCUAUCAUCCGGGUCAUGAAACGACCAUCCCUUACCAACAGUUCCGGCUCAAACAGUUCUCCACUUGGCCCCAUGAGCCUUUCAUAAAUUCGUGUCAAGGCCGUGUUCAUGGAAUCCGGUUCGUAGACCUCUACAGCAUCAUAAUCGUACUCAUCCUCCACAAUCAUAUUAUGGAGGAUGAUGCAAGUCAUCAUAAUGCUUCUGAGGAUCUCCUUAUCAAACAUACGGGCCGCAUCUCGAAUAAUCAACCAUCGAG